rnacentral:lncRNA from 1 species
AUUAUCUCAUCAUACGCAUCAUGCAUAUUGCAUCGGCACUCCGUUGCCGUCAGUUUUUCAAAACUUGCAUCCGUUGUUAGUUGUCGGUUCUCUUCAUUUUUUUUGUUGACCGUUUUGAGACCAACCACACAUGCACGCGCCUGCGACAUUGUUAAAAUAUUCUUUUUAAAAGUAUGUAUUUUUUUGGAUUGGGUUGAAAGUUGAUGUGCGGUCUUGUUUUAUCGUAGGUAGACAGGUGCCAAAUUUCAUCGUAAUCGGAGUUUGUUUGAUACCUGAACCGUUAAAUAUAUAGCGACACUAUAGUCAGUUUAUUUAUCGGUCGUUUUAGGUGUUUCAAAACAUGUCACGGGCCUCACAACUUCCCUCUUUUUCCUACCUAGCAUCUCUAACACAUUCCACUAGCCCACCUAAGCCUACCUAACCCUAGGGCGCAACCGGAGCUGUCCGAUCACAAUCAAAUGGCUCGAAACGUCCCAAAAACCACCUCUAACCCUAAUCCAUGCUAUAAAAGGAAACUCCUCCCUUCCAAAUCCGACCUUCUCUCUCCUCAACUCAAAUUCCAGGCAGCCUCCCACCCGCGCUGCCACUUGUCACCGCCGCACUCACUG